rnacentral:rRNA from 1 species
CGCGGAUGGCUCAUUACAACAGCUAAAAUUUACUCGAUCUUGACACAAUCCUACUUGGAUGACUGUGGUAAUUCUAGAGCUAAUACAUGCAUUAAAGCUCUGACCUUCGGGGAAGAGUGCAUUUAUUAGAACAAAACCAAGCGGCUUCGGCUGUUUUCGGUUGACUCAUAGUAACUGAGCUGAUCGCAUGGUCUUGCACCGGCGACGUGUCGUUCAAGUAUCUGCCGUAUCAACUUUCGAUGGUAGUGUAUCUGACUACCAUGGUGAUCACGCGUAACGGAGAAUAAGGGUUCGACUCCGGAGAGUUCGCCUGAGAAAUCGCGAACACAUCUAAGGAAGGCAGCAGGCGCGAAAAUUACCCACUCUCAGCACGAGGAGGUAGUGACGAAAAAUAACGAGACCGUUCUCUUAUGAGGCCGGUCAUCGGAAUGGGUACAAUUUAAACCCUUUAACGAGUAUCUAUGAGAGGGCAAGUCUGGUGCCAGCAGCCGCGGUAAUUCCAGCU